GGUGAACGCUGGCGGCGUGCUUAAGACAUGCGAGUCGAACGAUGAUGCCCAGCUUGCUGGGUGGAUUAGUGGCGAACGGGUGAGUAACACGUGUGUAACCUGCCCCUGACUCUGGGAUAAGCGUUGGAAACGACGUCUAAUACUGGAUAUGACUGCCGGCCGCAUGGUCUGGUGGUGGAAAGAUUUUUUGGUUGGGGAUGGACUCGCGGCCUAUCAGCUUGUUGGUGAGGUAAUGGCUCACCAAGGCGACGACGGGUAGCCGGCCUGAGAGGGUGACCGGCCACACUGGGACUGAGACACGGCCCAGACUCCUACGGGAGGCAGCAGUGGGGAAUAUUGCACAAUGGGCGAAAGCCUGAUGCAGCAACGCCGCGUGUGGGAUGACGGCCUUCGGGUUGUAAACCUCUUUUAGUAGGGAAGAAGCGAAAGUGACGGUACCUGCAGAAAAAGCACCGGCUAACUACGUGCCAGCAGCCGCCGUAAAAC
rnacentral:rRNA from 1 species